rnacentral:rRNA from 1 species
UACAGAGACUGCAAGCGUUAUUCGGAUUCACUGGGCGUAAAGGGUGCGCAGGCGGCCGAGUGUGUGAGGCGUGAAAGCCCGGGGCUUAACCCCGGAAUUGCACCUCAAACUACACGGCUAGAGCAUUGGAGAGGGUAGCAGAAUUCACGGUGUAGCAGUGAAAUGCGUAGAUAUCGUGAGGAAUACCAGAGGCGAAGGCGGCUACCUGGACAAUUGCUGACGCUCAGGCACGAAAGCGUAGGGAGCAAAAGGG